AAAGCAUGAUGAGUUUGAUCCUGGCUCAGAAUGAACGCUGGCGGUAGGCCUGACACAUGCAAGUCGAACGGGGCCAAUCCUGUUGUUGAUGCAAGCAAUGCCUUGCACCGCAUGCAAGGCGAUGCUCUGCAAGUGGUGCAGUCCCAUUGUGUGCAACACGAACGGGAUCCAACUCCGUGGCGAACGGGUGAGUAAGACGUGAGAAUCUGCCUUCUACUACGGUGGAAGGAGCCUCACCAACUCUGUUGGUUGAUGGCUCUGAAUCCCGUAUACAAACAAGAGAAAGACAUAUCAGUCGGUAGAAGAUGAGCUCUCGUAGGAUUAGGUAGUUGGUGAGUUAAAAGCUCGACCAAGCCAAAGAUCCUUAGUCGGUCUGAGAGGACGAUCGGCCACACUGGGACUGAGACACGGCCCAGACGCUUUCGAGCGGCAGCAGUGAGGAAUCUUGGACAAUGGGCGGAAGCCUGAUCCAGCCAUACCGCGUGAGGGACGAAGGCUAAAUGGGUUGUAAACCUCUGACCUCAGCCUAGAUUGUGACAUGGGCUGAGGGAAAAGUCCCGGCUAACUCCGUGCCAGCAGCCGCGGUAAUACGGGGGGGGCAAGCGUUAUUCGGAAUUACUGGGCGUAAAGGGCAUGUAGGCGGCCAAUCGCCACCCCUUCUUGGGCAGGCUUCUAGGGGGCUCAACCCCCAUCUGGAGAUUGAGCAACCCUUCAAGCCUGGCUGAGGGAUUGAUGUGGGUUGUGGGGUUGGGUUUCCAACCCCAAACCGGUUAAAUCCUUCCGCCGUGCUAAAGAUUCAGAGUGAAUCUCAAGAGCUCCCCGCCAUUUGAGGCGGGGUGGUUUGGCAAAUCCCUGGGCCCACCCGAGGGUUGCCAAGGGGCAGUGGCCUGCAUCACAUGGAGAGCAUCGCUCUCCAUGUGAUGCCUGCGUUGCCUUGCAACGCAUGGCCACUUUUGGGUUUGGCUAGAGUAAGCUAGAGGGGAGUGGAAUUCCUGGAGUAGAGGUGAAAUUCGUAGAUACCAGGAGGAAGGCCGAAAGCGAAGGCAUCUCCCUGGCGCUUGACUGACGCUGAGGUGCGAAAGCGUGGGGAUCAAAGGGGAUUAGAGACCCCCGUAGUCCACGCCCUCAACUAUGAGGAUUCACUAUCAGGGGGCUGCAUUUGGGGGCUUGCACCACGGGAGUGGUGCAAAUCCUUCCAUCUGUCAGCCUGCUUGGUGGUCUAGCUAACGCGUUAAAUCCUCCGCCUGAGGAGUACAGCCGCAAGGCUAAAACUCAAAGGAAUAGACGGGGGCUCAUACAAGUGGUGGAACAUGUGGUUUAAUUCGAAACAACGCGCAGAACCUUACCAGCCCUUGACAUUGAUUCGAUCUUGCCCUUUACCGGGCAAGAAAGCAAUCAACAGGCGUUGCAUGGCUGUCGUCAGCUCGUGUCGUAAGAUGUUUGGUUAGUUCCUUUAACGAGCGCAACCCUCAUGGAAUCUUGCCAGCAACCCCUUUCAGGUGUGGGGCCUUGGAGAGGCGCAUUGCUCUGCAAUGCGCGCCUGCUACUCAAGGCUUAGCCUUGGGCCAGCCACAAGGACCCCCUGCAUCACGAAGUGAGUUGCUACUGUUUCCAAACUGCCUGUGAUAUACAGGAGGAAGGUGAGGAUCACGUCAAGUCGUCAUGACCCUUAUGGGCUGGGCUACACACGUGUUACAAUGGCAACCACAAAGGGAAGCGAUGGUGCGAACCGGAGCGAAUCCUGUAAAAGUUGCCCCAGUUCGGAUUGCUCUCUGCAACUCGAGAGCAUGAAGAUGGAAUCACUAGUAAUCGUGGAUCAGCACGCCACGGUGAAUCUGUACCUGGGCCUUGUACUCCCCGCCCGUCACGCUCCGGGAGUCGAGUGGCUUAGAAGUCUCAUCAACCCCCUCUCUGAUGUUGCCCCAAUCGUGCCACUCUGGUGCGCCGCUCUGGUGGCCCCAGCCCUUAGGUGGGAUGGGCCCCCAAAGCGGGUGAGGCGCGCAACACAAGAAGGGGCGUAGAAUGACCAAGAACUGUUUGGCAACUGGAGCGAAGUCGUAACAAGGUAGCCGUAGGGGAACCUGCGGCUGGAUUGACUCCUUUAU
rnacentral:rRNA from 1 species